GAGUUAUAUAGAGGGCCAGAGGAGCUGG
rnacentral:piRNA from 1 species